CACAACUUUAAGUAUGUGUUAGUGUUUCUGAUUCCAAAUGGCUUGUAGGCUAGCACUAAGAUUCUUUAAAAUGAUGGAUCAAUCAAGAUGCAUACAAAAAAGGUCUUGAAAAUGAAACUUCAAAACUAAUCAAGUGCUUCAAUGACUCCUGGAAAUCAUUCUUCCUGCUAAAGAGAAAUCAUUUACGACUGGGAACAAAUAAAAAGCUGUAGCAGAGCAUGGAACCUUUCGUCCAUCAAAAUCCUCCUCCAUUAAUCCUAUUUCUUCUUCUUCUUCUUUUUCAUUUGCCAUCUCCUCGGUCCUCGCUUGCAUUUAAUAUGAUAAUAAUAGAAAUAACGGUCUUACAAGUACGUACACUGCUUUAAAGACUCAUGUCAUUCUUCCCUGCUCAAACUGAGAAAUGCAAAUAGAUAGGCCUAGGUAGACAUCAUGCACAAAUACACAUCUAUGUUCUCUCCUGAUCCAAGUUCUCUGCAUUUGACAGGGACUAAUGUAAAAAAUGCCUCUAUGUAUACAUUACUCUGGCCUCAAAUUCCCACUUCUGAACUACUAAAUCUCCAGAGCAUAAAGUUCAAUAAAUAUGUAGCAUUUGCUCUAAGAAUAGACAGAAUGACUACAGUUUCUGAAGGUACAUGAGGAACAUGAAUUUAUAGCAUUUUCCAUAUUUGGAUUUCGAACAAAAAGCUAAACAACAACACUUAAAAUCUUAAAUUCAAACGCCAUGAUAUCCCAAUCCACUGAACUUCAUUAACAAAAACCCCAAAUUCUGAAACUUAGCUAAACCCACCUCAUGGUACAGAAAUCGCAGUUAAUCUCCAUCAGCAAUACUAAAGGUUCUAAAUUAACCAGGACUAGCAUACUGAUGUCAACUUGAAAUAAAAGGUUCCCAAGAGGUGUACCCUAAGCACAUUGAUCUGAAGAAAAGUUCUGCAGUUCCUUGGCUAGUCAGAUUUAAGAUCCUGGGUGGGAACAUGGUAUGAGCCUCCAUUAUCUUCACCACCACUUUUCAAUCCCUCUUUCAACUUCUGAAGUAGCUUCUUUUGAUAUCGAUAGCCCUUGUCAGUUCCAUAAAUAAAGUCACAAUAGGUGAAAACCGAAGCAAAGUUGCUUUGGCUCUGUUCUCCAACAUAAUGAUGGUAAUCAUGGUAAUCUGCGCCGCCAUAAAAUGGAAUAUAUUUUGUAGGACUCCAAGGGAAGUCAUACCCGCUGUGUGUCUCAAUUGCCUCAAUCUGCCGCAAAACAAUCCACAACCAAAAUGUGAUCAUGUGCCCGGGAACCAUUGCUGGUCCCAGGAAAGAUGGAAUUCCCAGGAUCAAAAUUUCAGCCCAGUGUGCAUAUGGAGCAGCAAAACCAAUGGGAGCAGCAUAUUCAUGAUGAACACGGUGAAUUUUCUCAUAGCCCCAUUUACAAUGGAGAAGCCUGUGGAUCCAAUAAUUGGUAUAGUCCUCCACCACGAAAUACACCAACAAAUGUAGAAAAAUUUCCCAUAUAGACGGCAAUGGCAAACUUGUCCUAAUCCCGAUCAUCUUGACAGAUGGAUAGGAGACCAAUUGCAAGGGACCCACAACAAGAAAGAACAUGCGCAUGACAUCUUUGUAGCAUUUGAACAUCUCGGGGAAGGAGAGCUUAACCUUGGGCUGAAUCUUAUACUUGUCGAACCCAGUAGAUCGCAUAAGCUCGACGAAAACGAGAGGCAGAGGCACAAUAGAGAAGAUUAAAAAGAGGAAGAGAAUGUUAUGGCAGUAGAGGUAGUAAUCGGACUUAUUGGCAGAAUAAUUGAACCACAGUGUCUCAGCGAAGGUAAGGUUCCGGCCCAGGGUGGCCGCCGCCUCGUCGAGCGAUCUAUAUGGCAGCAUUGGCUGCGGCGGCGGUGGUGCUGGAGGGAGAAAAGUGAAGGUCUGGCCCUUGGGGGUGGAGUGAGCUGGGGCUAGGGAGGGUGAGUAGGACUUUUGGAAGUGUUGGUUAAAAUAUGCG
rnacentral:misc_RNA from 1 species